rnacentral:rRNA from 1 species
UACGUAGGGUCCGAGCGUUGUCCGGAAUUAUUGGGCGUAAAGGGCUCGUAGGCGGUCUGUUGCGUCGGGAGUGAAAACUUACAGCUUAACUGUGAGCGUGCUUCCGAUGCGGGCAGACUUGAGGUAUUCAGGGGAGAACGGAAUUCCUGGUGUAGCGGUGAAAUGCGCAGAUAUCAGGAGGAACACCGGUGGCGAAGGCGGUUCUCUGGGAAUAUCCUGACGCUGAGGAGCGAAAGUGUGGGGAGCGAACAGG